GAAGAACUGAAUCAGAAAUAUAUAUUGAAAAACAAAUAAUAUUUAUUUCAAGAAAAAUUGUUUGGUUGCAUUAUAUAUAUAUUGAAAUGACGUCAAACUCACAGAUGGAUAAAUAUGAAUUUAUUAGGAGGUUGAAUGACUACAGUGUGUCGUCGUUAAUGAUAAGAACGAAAUGCUGCCGAACAGUUGGAGUAAUGGCGGGAGAAUUACCGCUCAUUACCACUGUCCCCUCCAACGCUCCCACACAAUCACUAAGGAAUGCAGGGGUGGUCAACAGAAACGACGACAUAAAUGACUUGACACCAGGUGCACACAUGUUGCAAGAGGACCAUUACAAUAUAUAUAUAUAAGAAUGCAUUACAGUUAUUAAUAGCAUUUUUCUUAUUAAUAUAAUAGUAAAAUAACAACAGAUAUUAAAUUUUAUUUUUUAGUGUGAUAACUU
rnacentral:lncRNA from 1 species